rnacentral:lncRNA from 12 species
GUAACUUUCCAGUCAGUCUUAGACUGAAAUACAAAACCAGAGAAUGACAGAGCAGAAAAGUCAACUUGCCCAACUCUUGAGUUUCCACGUGAGGAAAACAAGAUACCCUGAGAAGAAGAGCGAUCUGUUCAAGGUCCCACAGAGUCAUUGGCAGAGGUUCUGUGGCCCCUACUCUGACUCCCGGGACUGGCAAGGGAAUCAGGUAUGUAUGAUGUAUAUGCUUGAUCCAGCUGGGCUACACUGCAGGAACUUCCAGGCCUACUGUGUGCUCAUGCAGCGGAUGCGACCUGGACUGGUGGUGGAGCUCUACUCCAGGCCCUGACAUCUCAACCUGUGGCCUCUGCUGCCACUGAGGCCACAAAGAGAGAGUUGGCGUGUCGGAGGCCGGGUCCUCCAAUAUUUCAGUACAGAAACACCUGUCACGUCUGCUCUCAGCCACGUGGCCCUUCAUGAGUAAGAGGGCUCGGGAUGUGGGUGAGCACAUGAGUAUUUGGUGAGAAGCAUGUCUGACAUGGGAUACUUUGCUAUUUCUUUGUUGGGACCCCAGGGUCUCCUUUUCUACAGGUUGGAGGCAAAGGAGUUGCCCCAGGAUAUCUCAGCACCCCAAGAAUCUCUCUCCAAGGUGUUUGACUUCACAAUGCACGGAAUACCUCCACCUUCUACACUGCAGAACUUGCUGCGCUUUGUGUAGGGAAGGAUUUGAAGGAACAUUCCUGUCAUUCCUUCCAACUAAACAAAUGGAGCCACAAGAUCAGGAUCUGUCAGAAGUCCUGGACGGCCUGGAUCAUUUUCUCCCAUUUUUGCCUAAGGCUCAGGAAAAUCGCCCCAGGAUAUACAAUGUUCUCUGGAGGAAGAGGUUCUCAUCCUGUUUGGGAACAAUCAGGAGAGAGAAGAAUUCAACUGGAGGCAGGUCUUGGUGCCAAGAGGGGCCGUCCUUGCCAGGUGACUUACUCCUUCACAGUGCAGAUCACCUGGAGAGGAAAGACCCUACCCUCCCAGGUAUGCUACCCCAACCCCACCACUGCUACGGGGAACAGACCCAGCUCCCCUCCAGGCUGCCUGGGCUUUAG